rnacentral:SRP_RNA from 1 species
GAACGGACUCAGGGGGCGCUAUAGUGUGAACCUGGUCAGGACGGAGACGUAGCAGCCAUAAGCACUCCCUGGCGAGCCCCUGGGUCUGCUCAGC